CCCUUAGAUGUUCUGGGCCGCACGCGCGCUACACUGACUGGUGCAACAAGUGUCGCUCCUUGGCCGAUAGGCCUGGGCAAUCUUUGAACGCUGGUCGUGAUGGGGAUAGACUUUUGCAAUUUUUGGUCUUCAACGAGGAAUUCCUAGUAAACGCAAGUCAUCAACUUGCAUUGAUUACGUCCCUGCCCUUUGUACACACCGCCCGUCGCACCUACCGAUUGAAUGGUCCGGUGAAGCCUCCGGAUUGGCGCGCACCUCGGUGCCGCCGAGAAGUUGGCUAAACCUUACCAUUUAGAGGAAGGUGAAGUCGUAACA
rnacentral:rRNA from 1 species